rnacentral:rRNA from 1 species
CUAUACAUGACUCUGCGCAUAUCAAUAAGCGGAGGAAAAGAAACUAACAAGGAUUCCCCUAGUAACGGCGAGUGAAGCGGGAAGAGCUCAAAUUUGAAAUCUUAAAGGGUUUCCCUUUACGAAUUGUAGUUUAAAGAAGUGUUUUCUGUUGAGGUUUUGGUAAAAGUUCUUUGGAAUAGGACAUCAUAGAGGGUGAGAAUCCCGUAUUUGACCUUUACUUUCAACUUUGUGAUACACUUUCAAAGAGUCGGAUUGUUUGGGAAUGCAGUCCAAAAUGGGUGGUAAAUUUCAUCUAAAGCUAAAUAUCGGCGAGAGACCGAUAGCGAACAAGUACCGUGAGGGAAAGGAUGAAAAGAACUUUGAAAAGAGAGUUAAACAGUACGUGAAAUUGUCAAAAGGGAAGCGUUUGACACCAGUGUUGUUUUUCUGAAAAUCAAUUAAAGAACUGUUUAUGCUAAGUUGUUUAGACUUUAUCAGCUAUCUGUUUAGUUUUGAGCUUUUCUUUAAUGCACUUUUCAGUUAACAAGUCAACAUCAAUUUCUUUUGCUGUAAAAAAGCUUGAGGAAGGUGGCUUGAGAUUCGUCUUAAGUGUUUAUAGCCUCUUGCCUAUGCAGUCGGAGAGAUUGAGGUCUGCAGCGUAGAUCCUUCGGGGCUAAAUGUAUUUGUGCUAAGUUAUAGCAUUUUAUAGACAACUUGUUGACUAUGAUUUGUCUUGUAGCUUACUCGCUUAUGUUAUUUUACCUACGCUUAGGAUGUUGAUCUACAGAGCGAGAGU